GAACACUGAGGCUCCAAGAGUAAUCAAUCUAGUUCAGGUCACAUAGCUAUUAUGUAACAAAAACGGAUCAACACCUGCAUCUUUCUGAUUCCAGAGGUUCGAAGACCAAUGGAAUAGUGAAUGUGAGAGACAAGAGGCCAUGUGGGGAAAGGAUUUGUGAAUAGUGUCAGGAGAGGGUUUGAAGACUAACCAACAUGCCCUCGCAUAUCUACGUUUUAUUUAUGUUUUCUGGAGAAAAUACUCUUCAUUGUCCAGCAUCGUAACUCCACUUCCGGUGACUCUCAUCACACAGCUAAGAAGACAGUGCCUAGAGUAACAGGAGGUGUAUGGUAGCCACUCAGACCUUAGUUGUUGAGGUGACAUAAUAAUUGAGUGUGUAAUGGAAUGUGAUAUGAAGGUGCCUUCUGGGUACUGGAAGAGCAUUUAUUUACCAGGCUUAAAAAGCAUACCUUUAAGUGAAAGAGCUGGGAUCCAUUAAAAAUAAAUACAGACAGCUUUUGGUUGCUCAAUAAAGAAUUCAAAAAAUA